UGGGGAAUUGUUCGCAAUGGGCGCAAGCCUGACGACGCAACGCCGCGUGGAGGACGAAGAUCUUCGGGUCGUAAACUCCUUUCGAUCGGGAAGAACGGCUUCCGGGUGAACAAUCCGGGAGAGUGACGGUACCGAGAGAAGAAGCCCCGGCUAACUCUGUGCCAGCAGCCGCGGUAAUACAGGGGGGGCAAGCGUUGUUCGGAAUUACUGGGCGUAAAGGGCUCGUAGGCGGCCAACUAAGUCACACGUGAAAUCCCCAGGCUUAACCUGGGAACUGCGUGUGAUACUGGAUGGCUUGAAUUCGGGAGAGGGAUGCAGAAUUCCAGGUGUAGCGGUGAAAUGCGUAGAUAUCUGGAGGAAUACCGGUGGCGAAGGCGGCAUCCUGGACCGACAUUGACGCUGAGGAGCGAAAGCUAGGGGAGCAAACGGG
rnacentral:rRNA from 1 species